rnacentral:tRNA from 1 species
GGGAGGAUUCCCGAGUGGCUAAAGGGGGCAGACUGUAAAUCUGUUGUCGGACGACUACGGUGGUUCGAAUCCACCUCCUCCCACCA